CCAUCAUAGCUGACAAAAAGGGGGCCCUACUUCCCAGGUUGCAGGGAUGCAAGAGAGCAAUAUUACUUUUGUGGGCGUUAAAAUCUCCCAAAUAUCGAGCGGUGACCAUGUGCUAGGCUCUCUGCUGGGAAAUGGACAUAGGUUAUAUCAUUGCAUCCUACAGCAGCCCCAUCUCUUGUUACAGAUGAGAAAGUUUCCCAAUUGUCCCGUUUUAUGGGGGAGGGAACUAUGGCUCCAGGGAGGUGGAGAGAAGAGGCCAAGUCACCCAGCCAGGAAAGGACCUGUUAGGAUCAAUCUGCUCUCACAGAGUGGAGAUGGGUCAGGACCAGGAGGAAGAAGAGCUUGAUAGCUUGGCUGGGCCAAGCACGAGUGCCGUGUGGAAGGCCUGGGAGGUCCUUGGACGUCCAGGAUAUGACCUUAAGGGUUGCAGAAGGUGUUUGGGGGGCCAGAAAAGUAAUCUGGGGUCAUGGGAAGAGCACAGACCAGGAUCUAGCAGUGUGUCCUUGGGCACUGCACUUGACCCCUUUGAGUCUCGAUUUCCUCAUGUCUCUCCGGAAGAAGCUCCACCCUUCAGGGCAGGGGUGAGGAGUGAGGGAGAGGAAGUGAGUCAGUGGCUCCGAGACCUCAGAUCCUGGGCCUGUCUCUGCUGUUGUCCUUCACCUCACAGAGGUUUCCUGAGCUGUGACAACACACGGGCUCUGUGUCCUCAGCCUUGUGUCCAUCACCCUGGUCCCCCCAGGCCUGGGACGCAGGAAGAUUCUUCACUAGACGGGAACUCGUGGGCAUUCACAAGGCUGGUGAGGAGAGGGUGCGCUCAGACCCCAGGUCGGAGCCUCUGCUCUCUCCCAGGCCCGGGCGCUGGAGUUUCUCUCUGGCUCCUGGAACCUGGGUUGCGUCCAGCUCAGCACAAACGAAAUGUGAGAAAUGUAAAGAAUGUUCUGCUCCAGAAACCUCCCAGUCUACUCGAGGCGCAGAGCAAUUUCUUUCUGAUUAAGCAAAAUGUCACAGGUCACCGUGUGACCACUUUUAACGCUGAAUCUUUUCUGAUUUCCUCACUCCCAAGUGUCUUCUCUGCCUCCAGUUCUAUCGGUGCCUCUGAAGCAGGACCCUUUAGUUUCUCCACCUCCUUCUUCCUGCCAUCCAGUGUUCCUCAGCUUCUGCUGUGAGUUCCGCAAGGUUCUGGUCCAGAGAAGCAUCCCAGACCUCCUAUGUGGAGGGGAGACUCCUGAAGAUGAAGAUGUGACCCUGCCUGCCCUCUAGAGUCUGGAUCUCUCAUGGGACCCUGAGGUGAGGCUGGGGGCAGUACAGGAACUGGCACUGACAAUUCAAGGACAUUUGCAGGGGCCUACGGAAGCAAAAUGAAAAGGCAACUGGCUCUAUGAAUCAAGGAGGGCUUCCUGGAGGAGGAGACAUCUGAGAUGAGUCUUACCACACAAAUGCCAGACUAGAGCUUGUUAAGGAGACUUGCUUCCAAGGUCAUAUUUAUUGAGUGGAUGAGUGAACAAAUGAAUGAACAAAUGAAUGAAUGUAUCUAAUCCAGACCUUCCAUUUGACAGCAGAGCUUCAUCUGGUGACUUCCAGGCUCUGCCAGAGCCUGAUAAGCCCACCUUUCUGCCCUGUCAGCCCCCCUGGCUUCCUGAGGCUUUAGGCCACCUGACACAGACAAAUGGCAGCCUCCCUCAACCCUGGGGUUGUCCUGGGCUCUCCAACCUGGAAGCCCUGAGCUUUCUCUGCUUGUGGGUUUGCUCACAGCUUCCAAAAGGCAGCAGAGUCAUGGAGAAGGGCACAGACCUGGUCUCCACCCUUCUGUAGCUAUGUGAUCUUAAGCAAGUCAGCGCACCACUCUGAGCCUCAAUGAGAUGUUGCAGUAAUGCCUACCUUGUGGACGUUUGUUGUUACAGUGUCUCAAGUCUCUAUUCCUCCCUGUGUUCGCAUCCCUUGUAAUGUGCGUUUUUAGCUCUUACAAUCAAGAAGUGGAGUGUCUUCCCCAUCCCUUAGAUCUGGGCUGUCCCUGUGACUUAUAUGGUGGAAGGGACAUGGGAGCCCAGGCCUCCAAAAGCCUUCUGAUCCUUGAGGCCUCCAUGUGGACAAACCCGGGCUACCUGUUGAAGGAUGAAAGACCACGUGGAACCGAGUCAUCUCAUUUGUCUCAGCCACGAUCAGCAAAGCCGACCUGCAGCUGACCCCCAGGCUGACCGCAACUGCAUGAGAAGUACAGCCAAACUCAGAAUAAAAAUGCCCAGCUGACCCACGGGCUGCUGUGACUACCAGGCUGAGUCAUCCAGGUUCCUGCCCCAGGACUGUGGAGGUGGGACCCAAAAGGAAGGACACUCUUUGAGGGUGGCCAGGAUGAGCCAUAUUCCAGCACAUGCAUUGAAUGACUGAGAGACCGCCAUGCCGACGUGGAUGCCCCCCAUCUCCAUCUCCUACUCCAAUGGAAGUUGCCUUCUCCCUUUAAGCUGAGGUGCUCACUCCCUCCUUCAGGUUUCAUUGUUCCUUCACUUCCCUCCAUCACAAUUCACCUCACUGUGGCUUCGGGAUUGUUCUGGAAAUGCAGCUACUAUCAUAUCAAUUCCCUCUCUGACCUUUAGUCUCCGCUUAAGACACUUCAGUGGGAUCCUGCUUUUUUUUUUUUUUUUUUUACGACAAAACCCCAAAUCUCUUUGGUGGCAUUUGAGGCCCCAUAUAGUCUGGCCUUUGCCUCCCCACCUCCGGCCUCAUUUCACACCAGACUCCUACCCACAAUCUGCCCUCCAAUCACACAGGCCUUGGAGGUGUCCAUGGUCCAACAGCUGUUCACCCACGGAGACUUUGCACAUUCUACUCCCCUGUCUAAAUGUUCCCCCUCACCCCCAAAUUCAUGUAACUCCUAUUCACCCUUCAGAUCCCAGAUUCGCUGUUCUAGCCUGCCGAGACGCCUCUGUGACAUGCUGACCUAGCACUGUAUAACCUUGACUGCACUUGUAACUUACACAUCUUGGUAUCCUUGAUUAAUCUCUGUUUCCCUCUAGACUGUGAGCUUCACAGGGCUAGGACCAUGGCAGAUUUACUGAAUUCCCUUGACACAGUGGCUGUUGCAUAGGAGUUUGCAGAGGAAAUCCCCGGGCCUGAACAUUUCUUGAGCUGAUGAGACACUGCGGCGAUUGUGUCUGGUGGGGCCGACUGGCUGAUGGACAGUGGUCUAAUGGCCUCAGAGUGCUUAUGAGACCAUUGUCCCCUCACGUCAGACUUUCAUCAAAAAUCCAAGGGUUGACUCUGAAGACCAACCUGUGUCAUGUUUGUCCUAUCCCCGAGCCCAACAUGUGGCUGGGGGAAUGGAAGUCACUGCGUGGCUGGGCCUGGUUCAUUUGCUGACUCCAGAGCCAGAUGUGUGUUAAAGCCUCACCCGAUAACCUUGAGGAAGAGAGGAAGGUCAGGAGGUCCCUAAAGGAAAGUCAGAGGAAGGAGGAUGGAUGCGAGCAGGCAAGAACAGCCAUUCAAGACCACUGCAUUGCAAACACAGAGGCAUAAGUAGGUUAAAGUUAAAAAUCUACUAAAUGAAAAUCAGAAAACCAAUGGGGAAAAUCAAUAAAAGCAAGUGCUGUUUUUUUUUUUUUUUUUGAGACAAUAAAAUGAAUAAACCCCUUAUUAGACUGGUUAAAGAAAAAAAGACAAAAUGGCCAACAUCGGGAAUGAGAGCAGUGAUGUCACUAUGGAGUCACAGACAUUAAAAGCAUGAAAAGGGAAUGUUAUGAGCAACUUAAUGCCAUUAAAUUCAGUAAGUUAAAUGAAAUGGACAAAUCCUUGGAAAGACACAAACUACUAAAGCUUACUUAAGAAAAAAUAGAGAAACUGAAAGCCCUUAUCUGUUUAAAAAAGUAUUUAAAACUGUAGUUGAAAACUUUCUCACAAGGAAAACUCUGGGCCUAAAUGGCUUCACUGGUGAAUUCUACCAAAUAUUUUAGAAAGAAAUAAUACCAAUUUUUAAACAAGCUCUUCGGGUAAAUCGAAAGGAAGGAAAUGCUUUCAAAUGCAUUCAACGAGGCCAGCCCCACUCUGUUCCUCAAAUCAGAAAAAUGUUUUACAAAAAAAGCUAGCUAGAGGCCAACAUCUAUCAUGAACACAAAUGCAAAAUUUCUAUGUAAAAUUUUAGUAAAUUGAAUUUAAAAAUACAAAAAUGAUGUGUUAUUAUAUGACCAAGUGUGGUUUAUACAAAGAAUGCAUGUUUAUUUUAACAUUUGGAAAUUAGUCAGUUUUCAAACAAACCGAAAAAGAAAAAAUCAUAUCAUCAUCUCAACAGAUGCAGAAGCAUAUGACAAAAUACAACACGUAUUUCUGACAAAAACUUUCCGCAAAGUAGAAAUAGAAAGAUAUUUUCUCAUCCGACAAAGGACAUCUACAA